rnacentral:lncRNA from 1 species
UACAUCACUUCUCUUUUAAGCAGAUAAACAAGCCCCAUAAAAAAUUUUAAACAACAAAAGUAAUAGUAUCAACAAAUAUAUAAAUAAUUCGAACGACAUUUUGAUUAAAAAAAAAUUAGAAUAUAUUCAAUACAAUCUAAUAUACAAAAAUUACAAAUAAAUUCAAAAUUACCGAAAUCACGGUGGACUUUUAAUUCUUCUCAUUAUAAUUCUAGUCAUUUUCAAACCAAUCAAACUAAUAUUUUAUGCACUAAUAAAACUCGAUCUUCUAAACAACCUUUUAAUUUCUUUUAAAUCAUCAUCAAAACAAUCUUGAAAAACAAUAACACAAAACCCACCGUUCUUUCCAUUUCAGAUACAAAUCUUAAUAGAAACAACGCUUCGGCAAAAUGUGCACUAAACCCUAAAUGAAAUAUACCAACAAAAAAUGGUAAAUUAUGAGGAUCAACUUUACUAACCAAUAGUGGCGAAUCGACUAAUUCAACACCAGUAACAUCAAUAACACCCAUUUCAGAUAAUGCCAUUACUUCUUGACCAGCACCAGCUGAUACACAAAUAACUUUUGAUUGGUUUCCUAAAAACUCGAGGUUUUCGAUCUCGUUAAAGAAUUGUUGAAAUGAAGUAACCUUUUUAUGCCAAUCAUUUGUGGACCAUUUUUUUUUUGUUUUUCUUUUCAAUUGAAACUAAUUCAAUAUGUGUUGAAUCACAAGAUGAUUUUGGAAAUCUGAUUUGGGUAUUUGGAUUUGAAUCUGAUAAACAUGUUUCUGGGGUUUGAGAGAUAAUAUAGAUUAGUGUAAUGGUUGCAAUGGUAAUGGAAGCAAAUGAGAAACGGUUUAGCAAAGUUUGUAUGUGUUUUUCCCUUUUUUUUUAUCUCUCCCAAAUGUUCUGUUUUCACCUAUUUUUGGAGUAUUAAUUAUAGCCAUUGUACAAUGCGUCAAACCUCUAAUACAUU